ACAUGCCUACAUCAUAGUGUUAAUGCACUGGAUCCCAUUAGAACUUCGUAGUUAAGCGCGCUAAGGCUAGAGUAGUACUGGGAUGGGUGACCGCCCAAGAAGUUCUAGUGUUUUACAUGCC
rnacentral:rRNA from 1 species